GAGGCUAAUUCAGGAGUCCUUUUAUUGCCGGCGACCGAGAGAUGGCUAGAGCUCAAAAUUCUCUUGGCCUCGAAGAACGGGAUAGAUUUCUUUUUAAACCAUGGUCUAAAUAGGGGAGGGGGAGCCUACUUGAAGCAAUUUUUACAGAAGCAGAACAGGCAAAAAGUUAAAAAAAUUAAUGGUUACAGAGAUAGUUACAGAAAAAUACAGUUCCAGGUGCAGGGGCUUAAACUAUCACAAAGAGAUAAAUGCAGGGGCUUGGGUACCAUCCGCCGAGCACGUCCCCAGGAGCUGCUGGUACAGCUUGCCUCAAUAUCUUAUCAGUAAGUGCAUUCCUGGAUGUGCUUGGAGUCAGCUUGCACUAGUUAUUCCCUUAAGGGAGGGGGAUAAGGGGACUGCAAGUGAAGAAGCUAAAAUGGAGAGUGUCCAGCUAUCUCAGCUAAGAGAGAGUCACUCUGAGCAGAAGGGUCAGAAGUCACCCUUCUGACCCACUGUACACGUAAACUUGGGGCAGUAUAUGAACUAACACGCACAGGAGAGGUCCAGGUUCAGUCCCAUUGAUGCAAUGAGUGAGCCUGAAGUGUAGGCCAGCCAGGUAUUGUUGGGUGCCUGGUAGGAGACUGAGGUGUUUAAGGAAGUAAGUAGAGACUGAUUACAGGUAGCCUGAAAGGGAGAAGCAGAUAAGUUAUACCUGGUGCUAAUUCGACAGGAGGCGUUCCCUGACACGUCUCCUAGUGUAAGGGCAUGGGGGCAUGUACGACAAGAAAGAGAGUCAAUUUUAAUCAUGGCUUCUACUCCUAAUCCAA
rnacentral:lncRNA from 10 species